rnacentral:rRNA from 1 species
CAGUCGCCACGGGAAUACGAAGGGGGCUAGCGUUGUUCGGAUUUACUGGGCGUAAAGCGCACGUAGGCGGAUUGGUCAGUUAGGGGUGAAAUCCUGGAGCUCAACUCCAGAACUGCCUUUAAUACUGCCAGUCUCGAGUUCGGAAGAGGUAAGUGGAACUCCUAGUGUAGAGGUGGAAUUCGUAGAUAUUAGGAAGAACACCAGUGGCGAAGGCGGCUUAAUGGUCCGGUACUGACGCUGAGGUGCGAAAGCGUGGGGAGCAAACAGGAUUAGAUACCCCUGUAGUCCCUGUCUCUUAUAC